UUAACGUGCUCUUAAUUUAAACAAAACUUAACCGGAACUUAUUAGAUGUACACGUGGUUGGCAUACGCUGGAUAAAUCGUCAAGGUGUGACAGGGCCAAACAAAUCUCAC